AUAAACGCUCAAACCUGAGCCAAAAUACAUAAGUUAUUUUCUACAUACAGGGGUGAUCCGAAUAAGGGCCGACCCAGUAAGCCUAUAAGCCGACCUAAAUAUAGCUUGACACCAAUACAACCCGACAUAUUCUGGGCCAGUGCAUGGGCCUUGAUUUUUUGAAAAUACUGUCCUUGGGCUGGUUCGGUAACAUCUUCAAAACACAAAAUCCUGCCAAACUUAAUGUGUGCACAACGCACAUGUCAUAUAUGAAAGAAAGACCAGUGUUCUCUACCAAGUUCAGCUUAACAUAAUUUCUUAACAAGUUCAAGACAGUAGAAGUGGCAAAACGGGUGGGUUAGGUCGUGUUUUCGAGAGCUGCUGCCAAGGUCCAAGUUACCGGUUACAAGAAUUUGUUAAAGCCAUUACUGAAGAAGUGAAGAAACUGGAACUAUUCCUUAUGGAUCUCAAUAGUUCUUGGUAAAUUCCAUAAGAUAAAAGAUAGUACUCGUAUUAUAUGAUGAAUGUCACCUCAUAUGUCCCGUCUGCACUUAUAAUCAUCUUCAAAGUGUGAUUGAAGGCUUUUAUGGUUUAAAAGUGACUAAAAUGUAUAGUUAAAGUUAAUGAUCUUCACAUAUAUUGUGUUCUAAGUAGAUUAAUGUAUGUGUCAGUUGAUGCCUUUUCAACCCAU